rnacentral:rRNA from 1 species
UUCGUAGGCUGCGCAGAAAGUAGGGUGUGAAAGCCCUCGGCUCAACCGAGGAAUUGCGCUCUAAACUACUGUGCUUGAGGAACCUAGAGGUGAGCAGAACUGAUGGUGGAGCGGUGAAAUGCGUUGAUAUCAUCAGGAAUACCGGAGGCGAAGGCGGCUCACUGGGGGUUUUCUGACGCUGAGGAACGAAAGCCAGGGUAGCGAACG